GAAUUGCAGCGGUUCACCCCGGGAACUGGGGCUAAUCCCAGAUAGAUGAGGACCCCUGGAAUGGGUUUUCGUCCAAAAGGCAUCAUGGUUAUGCUCUGUGGUGUCGCUCAAGGAUGGGGCCGCGUCCGAUCAGGCUGUUGGUGAGGUAAUGGCUCACCAAACCUUUAACCGGUACGGGCCGUGGGAGCGGGAGCCCGGAGAUGGGAACUGAGACAAGGUCCCAGGCCCUACGGGGCGCAGCAGUUACGAAAACUUGUCAAUGCACGAAAGUGUGAACGGGCUACCCCGAGUGCCGUCCGCUGAGGAUGGCUUUUCUCUGCUGUAAGAAGGCAGAGGAAUAAGGCGAGGGCAAGUCUGGUGUCAGCCGCCGCGGUAAUACCAGCUCGCCGAGUGGUAGGGAUGAUUAUUGGGCCUGAAGCGUCCGUAGCUGGCCUUUCAAGUCUCUUGUUAAAUCCAACGAUUCAAUCGCUGGACUGCAGGAGAUACUGCAAGGCUAGGAGGCGAGAGAAGCCGACGGUAUUUUCGGGGUAGGGGUAAAAUCCUAUAAUCCCGAGAAGACCACCAGUGGCGAAGGCGGUCGGCUAGCGCGCGCUCGACAGUGAGGGACGAAAGCUGGGGGAGCGAACCGGAUUAGAUACCCGGGUAGUCCCAGCUGUAAACGAUGCUGGCUAGGUGUUGAAGCGGCCACGAGCCGCUUCAGUGCCGCAGGAAAGCCAUUAAGCCAGCCGCCUGGGGAGUACGGCCGCAAGGCUGAAACUUAAAGGAAUUGGCGGGGGAGCAC
rnacentral:rRNA from 1 species